CCUAGCACAUUAUUGUUCUAAAGCAGUUCAAAGGGAAAGUGAAAGUGACUUUCUCAAAUUUAUACAGAAACCCAAGAAGACUAGCAGCAGUCUGGCUAUCAACCAUUGCUGCAAGAUGACGUUGAUCCCUGGUUUAAUAGUUUUUGGUAGCAUACUUGUCAUCUGCUUUAUACAAUGCCUUGCCCAGAGCUCUUCCAGGAAUGGCUUUUCAUUCACCUACAAUCAAACCAAUAACACCAAUAACGUAUAUUUUUCCCAGUCCCCAAUCAUCAUGGAAAACAUAGAGGACAACUCAAUUGGAGAGAGAUAAUCAACAGGAUCAUUCCAGAGAGAUCCAGCAUUCUAAGAAGCAAGCCUAGAGGCUAAAAUAAGUCAUUUCCCUUCCAGAUGUACAUCAUCCCGCUUCUUCCUUUCCUAAAACCCUAGGGAGAUAUCUCUCCCAGUAAGUGCAUUCAAGGGUACAGGUGGAGCUCAGAAGUAGACCCUUGCCUUGCCUGUGUUAGGACUCGAAUGAACCCUAACAACAUGAUAUUCUUUAGCUCAGCCCUGCCAGUCUUCACUAAGAAGAUGAAAAUUCAGCUGGUAUUCAUGCAUUAUGUAGUGUCAGCAUCCAUGUGCAUGGUUUCAUACAUACACCCUGUAUUUGGUUUUCUGCUUGUGAACUUGUAAAGCAGAAAACAACUACCUAGUCAUGCAAUUUUAUUCUUGUUAUCAUUCAUUUAUGUAAUAAAUAUGGAUUGAGCACCUGA